CAAUGGAGAUGAGGACUCGCUCGGUGAGUCGCUAGGGACCGGGGCGGAGCCGGCUCGGCCUGCAAUGACAAAGGUCAUAACCUCGCGGAAGACACAAGGACAGACGCAGACACAGUCAGGAGACAGCCUGCAGCAGAAGGAGCACGGGAGGAUAACAGCGACAAAAGAGAGGAAUGUGGUGAGAGAAAAGGCGCAUAAGAGCAGACGGCAGUCAAAGGAGAGGAGCUGUGACAAAGGAAGAAUCAUAGAUAGAGAAGGAAUAAAGAUGUGAAGAUAUGGGAUAGAAAGACAGGAGCCGGCUGAUUGGCAUACUGCCCCCCUCCCCCACCAGUAAUAGCCUGCAGAUGGUGAGGUGAUGCCCAACUGGCACCACUUAGGAUCCAAGUCUGGCCCGCAAGGUGGAUGUAGCCCUGCCCGCACAUCGACCUGCACGCCGAGUAUCGCCGGCAACGUCUCAUGGAGGUCUGGACAGAAACCCGGCAUGCACAUAUAACUGCAGCUACAGCAGUACGUGAGGUUACCAUGUGCAGCUUUGCACCCCAUACAAUUAUUUUCUCUUUCAAGUAAGAUAAGCAUUCAUGCUCCUUGUUCUCUACUGUCUUUAGGAUUUUAAUACUGCAUAGUUUUAACCCUGCUAUGUCCAUUUUGGAUGUUAUUUCAUUAUCAGGUCACCGCAACUACCUUUGCUCCAUUACCAGCCAGUUAAAGCCAUUGUCUUGUUAUAAAUAUCUAUGAUUUUUUUACUUCAUCAUCACUGUGGUUUUGCACCUCCAGGGCUGUGGAUUUCAUUACUGGCGAGAGAUUCGGGUGGCUCAGGCUUUCAGCAGGCCAAACACACACACACACACACACACACACACACACACACACACACACAUACACUCACACACAGGGAGAAUCACUGCAAAUUAUUAUAAAAUGCCAAGAUCCAGAUCCUAGGACUUAAAGUCACUGCAUAUGGUCAGACGCAGAAUGAUGACAGACUAAAGGCUAUUAGUGCCUUUUUGUCAGCUGACCUUGCUGGCUAAUCACAUUAAUUUAUUGCAUUCCUUCCUUACUCCAGUCCUCCAAAUGCCCCUGAGCACCAUUUACUGCACUACUACAGAGCAAUGUUCUCAGUCCUAUCUUCUGAGAGCCAAGAAGCUGUCAAACUCAAGCCAGCAGUUUGGUCAACUGGGACCAGGUGCCCUGUGGCCUCUCCAUCCACCCAUGCCCCCCAUCCCUGCCUUCUUGUUCCUCAUUCCCCUCUCAAGAUGAAAGUAUCCAAAUGAUCUGCUCCCUCAGACCCGAAUCCUUUAGGUGGCAUCCUUUAGGUGGUGUGUUGAAUGGUGCAGAGAAAGAAGUAGCUCUGCGGUAGGCAGCCGGACAAAGCUCAAGGCUCUCCCUCCA